GAGAUAAUGAAGCAGAACAGUUACUGAAAGCCAUCUGCUCGGUUGUUUACAAACUUGCUUCAAUACUUCAGAGGCAGUGGUAGGGUACGUGUCUAAACUUCACAAGCUGCACUAGGUAGAACUAAAUGAAGUGCGCCUGGGCUGGGCUGAGCUCGCUCCCUCUCUGUGCAGCGUGAGCGGUUGCCAGGCAGGCCUGUUGGAAGCCAGCAGAAAGCACCACACAGAGGUGAUUAUGUGCCACCAUCUGUCACGCUUCAAGCCUACCAUACAGCAUGGCUAAUCAGCCUUGGCAGGAUGAUGGAUGAACAGCAGCAGCUGCCAAAAGCCACUGUUGGCAAACAGCACUGAAGUUAAGAACUUUUUCCCCCCUCUGUCUUCCUCUCCAGGGUCCUGCUGCGUGUCCGCAUGCUGUACUACCUAAGACAAGAAGUGAUAGGCGACCAAGCAGAUAAGAUCCUCGAGGGUGCGGACUCAAGUGAAGCAGACGUGUGGAUCCCCGAGCCUUUCCAUGCAGAAGUUCCUGCAGAUUGGUGGGAUAGAGAAGCAGAUAAAUCCCUCUUAAUUGGAGUAUUCAAACAUGGUAAGGGGUGUUUCUGUUUAACUGCAUCUUGACUGUGUGGCUUCAUCUUUAUUUAGAACUCUUUGCAUACUCUUUUCCAAAGUCAUAAUAUUAAUGAGGUUCG
rnacentral:lncRNA from 1 species